rnacentral:rRNA from 1 species
AGAACGAACGCUGGCGGCAUGCCUAACACAUGCAAGUCGAACGAGACCUUCGGGUCUAGUGGCGCACGGGUGCGUAACGCGUGGGAAUCUGCCCUUGGGUUCGGGAUAACAGUUGGAAACGACUGCUAAUACCGGAUGAUGACUUCGGUCCAAAGAUUUAUCGCCCAGGGAUGAGCCCGCGUCGGAUUAGCUAGUUGGUGAGGUAAAGGCUCACCAAGGCGACGAUCCGUAGCUGGUCUGAGAGGAUGAUCAGCCACACUGGGACUGAGACACGGCCCAGACUCCUACGGGAGGCAGCAGUGGGGAAUAUUGGACAAUGGGCGAAAGCCUGAUCCAGCAAUGCCGCGUGAGUGAUGAAGGCCUUAGGUUGUAAAGCUCUUUUACCCGGGAUGAUAAUGACAGUACCGGAGAAUAAGCCCCGGCUAACUCCGCGCCAGCAGCCGAC